AUCAUAUUGAACCCUAUGGAUUAAGAAUGGGAUGCCACUCAAGUUCAUAUGUGUUUGAAGACUUUUGGCACUAUAGUGUAUGCGUCACUUGGAGUUUUCACUACGCACAUGUCCAAGUAACUUAUAACUUGAACAGAAUAGAUCUCAAUCUCCAGAGUGGAUAUGUUUUACAGAGAGUGCAAGGGAGAGUGGGUCCGGCUGCUACACAGUAAGCAGCAGGAUUGUACUUAAGACCAGCGUUGCCAUCGGUUCUUCACCAGUUCGUCAGCUACCUCGUGAUGCAGCCUCUUCAAUUCACGACUCUACUCACCCGCAACUCCGUUCUCUGGAUGCUAUUCUCCUCGGUAAAAUCCUCAGCUUCCUUCUGCAACUCUGUUCCCUGGACUUAUAACUGCUUACUGCACCUGCCUGCCUGCCUGUCUCCUGCCCGCUGACUUCUCUGGACUGCUAGAACACAAGAUCAGAACCCCACUCACUCCUCACUCAGCAACACAAGCCUUACCCCUCCACCUGCAAAGAUUCCCCCUGCAAAAACUUUUUCGAACUUUCCACAAUGGAGCUUUUGCAGUUUGUGUUGUGCUGUUGUCUCGUGUUGUGGAAUUUUUACGUUUUUCUAAUGUGUUUGCUGUUCUGCAGGACAUAAAAGUUAAUCUAGGAUAAACUCAUCUUAACGGAGCCAGGCCACUGAAAUAUUAUUAAGUGGAAUAAAUAAACCUUCUCCCUGUAUCCUGUGCCUUACAUGCUUUACUGACUAUAUACACAACUUGUUAUGUGAAGCAUCUAU